rnacentral:rRNA from 1 species
UAGGGAAUCUUCGGCAAUGGACGGAAGUCUGACCGAGCAACGCCGCGUGAGUGAAGAAGGUUUUCGGAUCGUAAAGCUCUGUUGUAAGAGAAGAACGAGUGUGAGAGUGGAAAGUUCACACUGUGACGGUAUCUUACCAGAAAGGGACGGCUAACUACGUGCCAGCAGCCGCGGUAAUACGUAGGUCCCGAGCGUUGUCCGGAUUUAUUGGGCGUAAAGCGAGCGCAGGCGGUUAGAUAAGUCUGAAGUUAAAGGCUGUGGCUUAACCAUAGUAGGCUUUGGAAACUGUUUAACUUGAGUGCAAGAGGGGAGAGUGGAAUUCCAUGCGUAGCGGUGAAAUGCGUAGAUAUAUGGAGGAACACCGGUGGCGAAAGCGGCUCUCUGGCUUGUAACUGACGCUGAGGCUCGAAAGCGUGGGGAGCAAACAGGAUUAGAUACCCUGGUAGUCCACGCUGUAAACGAUGAGUGCUAGGUGUUAGACCCUUUCCGGGGUUUAGUGCCGUAGCUAACGCAUUAAGCACUCCGCCUGGGGAGUACGACCGCAAGGUUG